UUAUAUGAUGAAAUAUGCACUGGGCUCUGAGCAGUUUCAAAUGAACUCUGCUUAAUUUGAUGGAAAUUGCAGCCUAGAAAGCUAGUCUGAUAU
rfam:Gossypium raimondii chromosome 2, whole genome shotgun sequence.